UGCUUUUCUUGCCUGAGGUAACUCCAC
rnacentral:piRNA from 1 species